rnacentral:rRNA from 1 species
AUGUGCAACCUGCAAGCCCUGGAGACAAGGGACCACCUUUUCUUUCAUUGUCAAUUUACACAAUUAUGCUGGAGCUACAUUUGCACCAAUUGGCAGCCAGCACAUACAGGCAUUCAGGAGGAAAUUAGCAACCUAAAGCAACUGCUGAGUGUACCAUAUGCGAUGAAGAUCAUCAUCCUAACCUGCUGGGCAAUCUGGACAACUAGGAAUGAUCACAUAUUCCAACACAUUCAGCCAAGCAUAUACAGAUGCAGAAAGAAGUUAAAAGAAGAACUCAAAUGGAUCAUCUACAGAGUCAAGAGGAAGGAAUACAGUGGAUUUGAGGCUUGGAUCAAAUCCUUUAGAUAA